GAUGGAAGAACGUAGCGAAAUGCGAUAAGUAAUGUGAAUUGCAGAAUUCAGUGAAUCAUCGAAUCUUUGAACGCAUCUUGCGCUCCUUGGUAUUCUGAGGAGCAUGCCUGUUUGAGUGUCAUUAAAUUCUCAACUACACUGACUUUGAAUUGGUGUGGCUUGGAUUUGGGGGGAAAAUUGUUGUGGGCUUUUUGUAUAGUCUGCUCCCCUGAAAUUGAUUAGCGGUACCUUUGUGGAACUGUCUACAGGUGUGAUAAUUAUCUACAUCUGCUGGAAUGCUGCUUUCUAAACCUUACUUGUAUUGACAAUCUUGACCUCAAAUCAGGUAGGACUACCCGCUGAACUUAAGCAUAUCAAUAAGCGGAGGA
rnacentral:misc_RNA from 1 species